AUGCAGUCGAACGGUGAACACGGAGCUUGCUCUGUGGGAUCAGUGGCGAACGGGUGAGUAACACGUGAGCAACCUGCCCCUGACUCUGGGAUAAGCGCUGGAAACGGCGUCUAAUACUGGAUAUGUGACGUGACCGCAUGGUCUGCGUCUGGAAAGAAUUUCGGUUGGGGAUGGGCUCGCGGCCUAUCAGCUUGUUGGUGAGGUAAUGGCUCACCAAGGCGUCGACGGGUAGCCGGCCUGAGAGGGUGACCGGCCACACUGGGACUGAGACACGGCCCAGACUCCUACGGGAGGCAGCAGUGGGGAAUAUUGCACAAUGGGCGCAAGCCUGAUGCAGCAACGCCGCGUGAGGGAUGACGGCCUUCGGGUUGUAAACCUCUUUUAGCAGGGAAGAAGCGAAAGUGACGGUACCUGCAGAAAAAGCGCCGGCUAACUACGUGCCAACAGCCGCGGUAAUACGUAGGGCGCAAGCGUUAUCCGGAAUUAUUGGGCGUAAAGAGCUCUUAGGCGGUUUGUCGCGUCUGCUGUGAAAUCCCGAGGCUCAACCUCGGGCCUGCAGUGGGUACGGGCAGACUAGAGUGCGGUAGGGGAGAUUGGAAUUCCUGGGUGUAGCGGUGGAAUGCGCAGAUAUCAGGAGGAACACCGAUGGCGAAGCAGAUCUCUGGGCCGUAACUGACGCUUAGGAGCGAAAGGGUGGGGA
rnacentral:rRNA from 1 species